UUAAAUUUGUAUUUAUGUAGAGAUGGGAUCUCACUAUGUUACCCAGAUUUGUGUAAAAUAUUUAAUAGAGAAAAUACCAUGGACACAUACUGAGAUAGAAGUUUGAAUACUAGAGCACCACUCUCUAUAGUUUCAAAGCAAGUGUGUUAGUUUGAUAUUCAAAUAAUAAUCAUUGUACACAGUAUACUAUGGCCCAUUGAAGUAAAAGAAACUAGUAAAACUUGAGGAAAAUUGGCAGAGUUGAUAAUUAUGUCCGUGUUAUAUUUUUGUUUAUUCACAAAUUAGUUGCUUAAUAUGAAUUUGAUGAUUCAUGGUGCCCAGAUAUGUGGGACUGACAUAUAGUUGGAUUAACUAAUUGAUUAGUUAAUUCACUUCAUAAAUCUCUAGCCCUUGAGCCAAUUUCAUUUGACAGAACAAUUAUAUAAUAAGUUUGUGUUUCUCUAACUGGGAUCCUUUUUUGUUGAAUUAAUUGAAAUAUAUGGGUUCAUUGACUGUGCUUCAGCACUGUAGUUUGAAUAUCAGUGGCCAGUUCUCUUGAUCAGAAGCCAUAUUUAAUAGACCAGAAUUUGUAAAACAUUUGGCACAUAUUCAUGCAAACAAUAUAUAACCAAAUCAUACAUAAAAUGUUUUAGAUUGUUUUCUUAUUUAUUUUUGAACUGACAUACACCCAACCUAUAAAGAAAUGUUUCAAAGAAAAUGUAAAGCCACAGCAAAAAUAUGACUUAGCUUUUCAAAACAUCAGUUAGCUUGAAUAUAUUAAGGAAGAACUUUUUAUAACUUAAUGUCAAUUAAUAAUGUAAAAGAAACAAUAAGGUUUAAAGAUAAGUAUUUCUAAAAUAUAGACGAAACUUAUCAAUGGAUGCUGAAAUGAAUGAGUAAAAGUUUGAUGCAUAAUAACAUAUACAUAUUUAUCAAGUAUCACUCCCCAAAUAAAGUUGGUUACACUGAGGAGAAAGAGUAGCUCUACAGUGAAGAACACUGACAUAAGCAAUCUAAUUCAAAUAAUCAAAGUUACUAUCUAAUAAUGAGGCAAACCAAUGUCAAAGCCUUCUUAAUAUAAUACAAGGGACAGAAUAUAGCAUCACUUCUGUCAUAUGCUUGCCAAAAAAUACAUAACUGUAAUGUAAUCCUGAGGAAAUGCCAGACUGCUCCACACUGGGGAACAUUUUGCAAAAUAAUGUCUUAUGCUAUUCCAAAAAUAUUAAGGUAAGUAAAGUCAAUGAAAGACUGAAUUUUUGCAGAUUAAAAGAGAUUAAAGAGACAUGAGACUGAAGGCAAUAUAGGGUUCUUGAAUACAGGGUUUAUUCUAGUUGUUUUUUUUUUUUUUUUCUCUUAAGGACAUUAAUGGGACCAUUGGAAAAUAUGAAAAAAGGAAACUCUCUGAUACACCUUGUCUGAUUGUAGGUCAUAAGAACCUCAUUUCAGAAGAGGUCCUGCCCCAUACCCAGAGGAAGAGAUGCUGCACAGAGAAGUAAAGAAGUAUUGAACAGAGAGGCUUUGCUGGAUUUCCCAACUGAGUCUAUUAGUAUUAGAUCAUACUCUUUUUGUUUAAUCACAUUUCUUCUCAGUUGUCAAUCGUGCUUAUCUAAUGACUUUUGGCUUCCAUCAGAAGCCAAACAUGACAGGAUUCAAAGGACUUCUUGAGAGCUGAACGUGUGAAGGUUGCUAGAGGGUGAGGCCUUGGGGAGGGCGUAGAAGCUCCUCAGUGGACCCUUCUCACAUGCCCUGCCUUAUGUAUCUCUUCAUCUUUAUCUUUUGUAAUAUUCUUUGUAAUAAACUGGUAAAUGU